UGAUAGGGGAGCUUGCACGAGCAGGCUGAGAGUAAGCAAAAUGUAGCUUUGACCCUUUAACCUGAUUUGGAUAAUGCCAACGUAGGGAAUUUUUAUAU
rnacentral:ncRNA from 1 species